AUAGGUCACCAACCUCGCAAAAGAAGAUAUGAUGGGCCAAUCUUGCCCCAUUUAUGCCUGUACUCGUGCUAAGCACGCAUGUUAUUCAUCAGUCACGUUACAUUUCGCUGUAUCUGAAAGCACAAUUCAUCGAAGUAAUACUU